rnacentral:ncRNA from 1 species
CGAAAGCGAGUCCGAACAGGGCGCCUUGAGUCUGCCGGAUUGGACCCGAAGCCCAUGCGAGCUACCCAUGGACCGGGUGAAGCCCCCGUAACAGGAGGUGGAGGCCCAAACCCGUGACCGUUGAAAAGGUCUGGGAUGAGCUGUGGGUGGGAGCGAAAGACUUAUCAAGCUGGGUAAUAGCUGGUUCUCUCCGAAAUGCCUUUAGGGGCAGCGUCGGG